UGGUGGAUGGUUCUAUGGUAGGCAAAUUCUUAUUAUUAAGUCGGCAUUUGAUAAAAAUUUGCUGCUCCUUGUUUUUUGUUAACUAGUUAUGGUGUUCGUCCGUUGCAACAACUUUAAUGAAAAAAGAAUUUCUAGAUUCUUUCUGUUGAGAUAAUUAAAGUUUUGUAAGUUAUUGUUCCUAAAUCUAAAACUUACAUAUAGUCGAUUAUUAAGGCACAAGGAAACCACAAGAGUACAACUCGGCACAGAAGAUCAUCCCUGCACACAUAUAAGCAUACAUAGAUCAAUGCACAAAUGAUCCUUGAGUAUAGAACCAUCC
rnacentral:lncRNA from 1 species